UGCUGCUGUGUGGGAAAACACAGUGGAAUGCAAAAGGCUUCCUGCCCCUCUGGCCCAUGGCCGGGUUACUCAUGGUGGCCUUGCUGUUGUUUCUGGGAAGACUGAUGGUGUGACUGGUCUUUCCCCACUGUGCACAGCAACAGGAGGGCCUGCAAGGAAAGGUGGCCCUGCCCAUCAGAUUCCCUCCAGACCCAGGUGUGAGAGCAGUCCUUUCGCUGAGCCCU
rnacentral:lncRNA from 1 species